rnacentral:rRNA from 1 species
GGAUUAGAUACCCUGGUAGUCCACGCCGUAAACGAUGAGUACUAGUUAUUGGAGGUAUUGACCCCUUCAGUGACGCAGCUAACGCAUUAAGUACUCCGCCUGGGAAGUACGGUCGCAAGACUAAAACUCAAAGGAAUUGACGGGGGCCCGCACAAGCGGUGGAUUAUGUGGUUUAAUUCGAAGCUACGCGCAAAACCUUACCUAGGCUUGAAAUCCUACGAAUCUGGUGUAAUGACCGGAGUGCUCGCAAGAGAAUGUAGUGACAGGUGCUGCAUGGCCGUCGUCAGCUCGUGCCG